UCGUACGCUGGGCUAUAAUUUAUGAAACUGAGCCCCAGAUCCAGCCAAUCACUUAGCUCCUCAUAACAAGUCUGACUGGCUCUGGAAAGCUGAAAGGGCUGCGCUAGAACAACAAAGAUGAGAUAUUCCACAUAACACUCAGCUUAUCUGGAAUCACUUUCCCUUGCAAGGCCAGAAAAAAAUCAUAGCUUUACUGCCCAAGGGAAGCACAACAAAGGACUGGGAAAUGCGACUUCACCUGGAGCAA
ensembl:misc_RNA